AGAGUUUGAUCCUGGCUCAGAAUCAACGCUGGCGGCGCGCCUAGCACAUGCAAGUCGAACGAGAAAGUGGAGCAAUCCAUGAGUACAGUGGCGUACGGGUGAGUAACACGUGGGUAAUCUACCUCUUAGUGGGGAAUAACUCUGGGAAACCGGAGCUAAUACCGCAUAAGCUCGAGAGAGGAAAGUCGCAAGACGCUGAGAGAGGAGCCCGCGGCCGAUUAGCUAGUUGGCAGGGUAACAGCCUACCAAGGCAAAGAUCGGUAGCCGGCCUGAGAGGGCACACGGCCACACUGGCACUGAAACACGGGCCAGACUCCUACGGGAGGCAGCAGUGGGGAAUCUUGCACAAUGGGGGAAACCCUGAUGCAGCGACGCCGCGUGAGCGAUGAAGCCCUUCGGGGUGUAAAGCUCUUUCGUCAGGGAAGAUGAUGACGGUACCUGGAGAAGCAGCUGCGGCUAACUACGUGCCAGCAGCCGCGGUAAUACGUAGGCAGCGAGCGUUGUUCGGAGUUACUGGGCGUAAAGGGUGUGUAGGCGGUUGUUUAAGUUUGGUGUGAAAUCUCCCGGCUCAACUGGGAGGGUGCGCCGAAUACUGAGCGACUCGAGUGCGGGAGAGGAAAGUGGAAUUCCUGGUGUAGCGGUGAAAUGCGUAGAUAUCAGGAGGAACACCGGUGGUGUAGACGGCUUUCUGGACCGUAACUGACGCUGAGACACGAAAGCGUGGGUAGCAAACAGGAUUAGAUACCCUGGUAGUCCACGCCCUAAACGAUGCAUAUUUGGUGUGGGCAGUUCAUUCUGUCCGUGCCGGAGCUAACGCGUUAAAUAUGCCGCCUGGGGAGUACAGUCGCAAGGCUGAACUCAAAGGAAUUGACGGGGGCCCGCACAAGCGGUGGAGCAUGUGGUUCAAUUCGACGCAACGCGAAGAACCUUACCUGGGCUCGAACGGCUGGUCAACGGAGGUGGAAACACUUUUACCCCGCAAGGGGGUCCAGUCGAGGUGCUGCAUGGCUGUCGUCA
rnacentral:rRNA from 1 species